rnacentral:rRNA from 1 species
AUUGAACGCUGGCGGCAGGCUUAACACAUGCAAGUCGAGCGGGGGGAGGUAGCUUGCUACCGGACCUAGCGGCGGACGGGUGAGUAAUGCUUAGGAAUCUGCCUAUUAGUGGGGGACAACAUCUCGAAAGGGAUGCUAAUACCGCAUACGUCCUACGGGAGAAAGCAGGGGAUCUUCGGACCUUGCGCUAAUAGAUGAGCCUAAGUCGGAUUAGCUAGUUGGUGGGGUAAAGGCCUACCAAGGCGACGAUCUGUAGCGGGUCUGAGAGGAUGAUCCGCCACACUGGGACUGAGACACGGCCCAGACUCCUACGGGAGGCAGCAGUGGGGAAUAUUGGACAAUGGGGGGAACCCUGAUCCAGCCAUGCCGCGUGUGUGAAGAAGGCCUUAUGGUUGUAAAGCACUAUAAGCGAGGAGGAGGCUACGUUAGUUAAUACCUAGAGAUAGUGGACGUUACUCGCAGAAUAAGCACCGGCUAACUCUGUGCCAGCCGCCGCUGUAA